rnacentral:tRNA from 1 species
UUUUAUAUAGUUUAAGUAAAACAUUACAUUUUCACUGUAAAAAUAAAAUUAAAUUUUUAUAAAUA